UGAAAUAGCGAUUGUGAUAUUGGCCUGGUUCACUCAGACAUGGAAAACCUACCCUUAAUUUCUUGCUUCUUUUGCUUGAGUGAAGGGUGGUGUUGUCUUGUUUUGAUUGAGCCGUGCCAAUAUCUCAGUUCUCUUUCA
rnacentral:pre_miRNA from 1 species